rnacentral:rRNA from 1 species
GGAGGAAAGUAGGGGAUCGCAAGACCUUGCGCUAAAGGAGCGGCUGAUGUCUGAUUAGCUAGUUGGUGAGGUAAAGGCUCACCAAGGCAACGAUCAGUAGUUGGUCUGAGAGGACGGCCAACCACACUGGGACUGAGACACGGCCCAGACUCCUACGGGAGGCAGCAGUGGGGAAUUUUGGACAAUGGGCGAAAGCCUGAUCCAGCCAUGCCGCGUGAGUGAAGAAGGCCUUCGGGUUGUAAAGCUCUUUUAGUCGGAAAGAAAAGAUCAUAAUGAACAAUUAUGAUUCAUGACGGUACCGACAGAAAAAGCACCGGCUAACUACGUGCCAGCAGCCGCGGUAAUACGUAGGGUGCGAGCGUUAAUCGGAAUUACUGGGCGUAAAGGGUGCGCAGGCGGUUUUGUAAGUCAGAUGUGAAAUCCCCGGGCUUAACCUGGGAAUUGCGUUUGAAACUACAAAGCUAG